rnacentral:rRNA from 1 species
UGGCGGCGUGCCUAAUACAUGCAAGUCGAACGCUUCUUUCCUNCCCGAGUGCUUGCACUCAAUUGGAAAGAGGAGUGGCGGACGGGUGAGUAACACGUGGGUAACCUACCCAUCAGAGGGGGAUAACACUUGGAAACAGGUGCUAAUACCGCAUAACAGUUUAUGCCGCAUGGCAUAAGAGUGAAAGGCGCUUUCGGGUGUCGCUGAUGGAUGGACCCGCGGUGCAUUAGCUAGUUGGUGAGGUAACGGCUCACCAAGGCCACGAUGCAUAGCCGACCUGAGAGGGUGAU